rnacentral:rRNA from 1 species
GACGAACGCUGGCGGCGUGCCUAAUACAUGCAAGUUGAGCGAUGAAGCUUGGUGCUUGCACCAAUUUGAAGAGCAGCGAACGGGUGAGUAACGCGUGGGGAAUCUGCCUUUGAGCGGGGGACAACAUUUGGAAACGAAUGCUAAUACCGCAUAAUAACUUUAAACAUAAGUUUUAAGUUUGAAAGAUGCAAUUGCAUCACUCAAAGAUGAUCCCGCGUUGUAUUAGCUAGUUGGUGAGGUAAAGGCUCACCAAGGCGAUGAUACAUAGCCGACCUGAGAGGGUGAUCGGCCACAUUGGGACUGAGACACGGCCCAAACUCCUACGGGAGGCAGCAGUAGGGAAUCUUCGGAAAUGGAGGAAAGGCUGAACGAGCAACGCCGCGUGAGGGAAGAAGGUUGUCGGAUCGUAAAACUCUGUUGGUAGAGAAGAACGUUGGUGAGAGUGGAAAGCUCAUCAAGUGACGGUAACUACACAGAAAGGGACGGCUAACUACGUG